UUCAAGAAAACUUGAAAGUCAAAAUAUGUCGCAUGAUGCAUACAACCAGACCUACCUUCAGGUAACAAGUACACCUGUUCUUAUAGCCAAAUGUUUUGACUACUCCAACCCUUGACUGGUAUACUAAGCAGCAGAACACUGGCUGAAAAGCAGAAACCCCAAGGUCAGAAGAUAAAGAUUGUGACUUAAAUGUAUUUAGCCUUCAAAGUGUUUGUAUUUUAAGCCGACAUUUAAUAAUUGAGAGAGAUGCAGAUCGUGACUUAAAUGUACUUAGCCCUCAGAGUGUUCAUUUGUUUUGUAUUUUAAUUAAGGCAACAUUUUAAAAUCAGAAGAUUUAACUUAAAAGUCUAGAUUGGAGCUUGUGUUUAAAACUGAGGAUAGCUGUUCCUGUGGCAGCUGACGGGCUGAGAGGAGCAUGGCUGUCCCCUCUCCACCAUGGCAUGUGCUCGCCCACUGAUAUUGGUGUACUCCAGAAAGGGAGAGUCAUCUGACAAAAAUGUCACUUUGCCUGCUGUAUUCAAAGAUCCUAUUCGACCAGAUAUUGUGAACUUCAUUCACACCAACUUGCACAAAAACAACAGACAGCCCUAUGCUGUCAGGGAAAUAGCAGGUCAUCAGGCCAGUGCUGAGUCUUGGGGUACUGGUUGAGCUGUGGCUUAAAUUCCCAGAGUUUAAGGUGGUGGGACUCACUGUUCUGGCCAGGGUGCUUUUGGAAAUAUGUGUCAUGGAGGCCAAAUGUUUGCACCAACCAAAACCUGGUGCUGUUGGCAUCGUAGAUUGAACACAAUCCAAAAGCGAUAUGCCAUCUGUUCUGCCCUGGCUGCCUCAGCCUUACCAGCACUGGUCAUGUCUAAAGGUCAUCGUAUUGAAGAAGUUCCUGAACUUCCUUUGGUAGUCGAAGACAAAGUUGAAGGCUGCAAGAAGACCAUGGAGGCUGUUUUGCUUCUUAAGUAACUUACAACCUGGAAUGAUAUCAAAAAGGUCUAUGCCUCUCAGCGACUGAGAGCUGGCAAGGGAAAAAUGAGAAACUGUCACCGUAUCCAGCACAGGGGACCCUGCAUCAUCUACAGUGAAGAUAAUGGUAUCAUCAAGGGCUUCAGAAACAUCCCUGAAAUUACUUUGCUCAGUGUAAGCAAAUUGAGCAUUUGAAGCUUGCUCCUCCUGGUGGACAUGUGGGACGUUUCUGCAUUUGGACCGAAAUUGCUUUCCAGAAGUUAGAUGAAUUGUAUGGCACUUGGCGUAAAGCUGCUUCCCUCAAGAGUAACUAGAAUCUUCCUAUGCACAAGAUGAACAAUACAGAUCUCAGCAGAAUCUUGAAAAUCCCAGAGAUCUAAAGAGCCCUUCCAGCACCACGCAAGAAGAUUCAUUGCAGAGAUCUAAAGAACUCACUGAAAAACCUGAGAAUCAUGUUGAAGCUAAACCCAUAUGCAAAGAUCAUGCGCUGGAACACUAUUCUUUGCCAGGCCAGGAAUCACAAGCUCUGGGUGGAUAAGGCAGUGGCAGCAGCAGCAGCACUAGAAGCCAAAUCAGAUGAGAAGGGGGUUGCAGGCAAGCAGCCUGUGGUAGGUAAGAAAGGAAAGAAGGCUGCUGUUGGUGUUAAGAAGCAGAAGAAGCUUCUAGUGGGAAAAAAAGCCAGCAGCUACCAAGAAACCAGCCCUGAAAAGAAGCCAGCAGAAAAGAAACCUACUACAGAGGAAAAGAAGCCUGCUGCAUAAACUCUUAAAUUUGAUUAUUCCAUAAAGGUCAAAUCAUUUUGGAGAGUUUCUUUUGAAUAAAGACCUGAUCAAAGAGGCAGAGAGGAA